GAUGAACGCUGGCGGCGUGCCUAAUACAUGCAAGUCGAGCGAACAGACGAGGAGCUUGCUCCUCUGACGUUAGCAGCGGACGGGUGAGUAACACGUGGAUAACCUACCUAUAAGACUGGGAUAACUUCGGGAAACCGGAGCUAAUACCGGAUAAUAUAUUGAACCGCAUGGUUCAAUAGUGAAAGACGGUUUUGCUGUCACUUAUAGAUGGAUCCGCGCCGCAUUAGCUAGUUGGUAAGGUAACGGCUUACCAAGGCGACGAUGCGUAGCCGACCUGAGAGGGUGAUCGGCCACACUGGAACUGAGACACGGUCCAGACUCCUACGGGAGGCAGCAGUAGGGAAUCUUCCGCAAUGGGCGAAAGCCUGACGGAGCAACGCCGCGUGAGUGAUGAAGGUCUUCUGAUCGUAAAACUCUGUUAUUAGGGAAGAACAAAUGUGUAAGUAACUAUGCACGUCUUGACGGUACCUAAUCAGAAAGCCACGGCUAACUACGUG
rnacentral:rRNA from 1 species